UCUGAAUUAUAUUUGAUUUAGGUUAAUAUUAAUGCCCUGUACUCCUUGAGCACGUUCUUCUGGGGAGAGGUGCUCCUGGCUGGUGGUGAGUGGCCUGGGGGGGGUGGUGACAUCCAAAGGGUAGGCAGAGCCCAUGAAGGUAACUGAAUUUUGAGGAGCUGAAUUUUGUGUGUUGCUCAGGAGGCAGCUGAGCAGAGGGACGUGAUGACCUGCAAGUUGGGAGUACUAGGCUGAAGUCCUGAAUCUGCCAACUGUGAAACCCGGGACAAGAAGGGUGACCAAGGACAUGGGAAUCUUGUGCUAAAGCUAGGAAAGCCCUGGUCCUGGCACUCAACUGCACAUCUAGACUUGGCCCCAGAGGCCACCUGUAGUAGCAGAAGAGGUAUGGCAUUUGCACCUCAGGCAGCAGGGGUCCCAAUGGUAGCUCUGGAGUAAUGAUUGAGCCAGGAGACAUCCACCAUGCCGGCCAUGGAGUGCUCAGGAAUUGGUGGGAAUCAGCUCAGCCAAUGACUGCUGCUGUUGGCCAUCUGCUGGGACAUGCAAAUAGCUUAUAGAAUCACAGAGCCACAGACUGUCGGAGCCAGAAGGGCUUUGGGGAUCUUGUCAUCCAACCCAUUCGCAGCACAGAUGAUGGAACUGAAGCCCAGAGAGGGGAUGGACAUGGCUGCUGAGUCUGAGCUGUAGGCAAGAGCAGGGAGAUUCCAGCCAUGAGGGUGGCAUCUCCCAACAUCCACCUCCAAGCUGCUUUGCCCAGCUUCCUCCUUGAUGAUGGACCUGCUGUCCUGGUGGGUACCAUGGACUGGGCACUGUGUGAAUGCCUGUGUGUGUGGCGGGUGGCACAGGGCUGCCGGGUGUGUUCGGCUGCAGUGCUAACAUGCACACAGAACGCCAGGGCCAGUUCCUGAUUUGUAGGAUGUGGUAGUGAGGCCUUCAUCUCUUACAGUUUUGGGCCACCCAAGGAGUCCUGUGAAUGGGUGACAGGAUCCAAAGCAGUAGGGCCCGGAGGUGUUUUUCCUGCCUUUGUUAGCUUCCUCUGGGUCAAGCUAAGAGGCAGGGGAGAGGGUUGGGCCAGCCCCCA